rnacentral:lncRNA from 1 species
CUGUUUGGCUAUUUCAGUGCCUCCAGAAAGGGUUGAGAAGAUAAUGGAUCAGAUUGAAAAGUACAUCAUGACUCAUCUCUGUAAAUAUGCGUUCUGUCCAGAACCCCAGUGAGCCUGGAAGACUGGGUGCUAUGGGAAAUGUCAUCAAUCCAAUGCUAGUGAAAGAUGUGACUGGGGAAUGCUGAAAAAUGCGCACCCCUGGGAGGAAUGAGGAAAGAUGACAUCCACUGACUUGUUAUUUUUUUGAGAAGGAGUCUUGCUCUGUUGCCCAGGCUGGAGUGUGGUGGCACGAUCUCGGCUCACUGAUGAUGAGAAGAAAGAUCUUGCCAUUCAAAAGAGGAUCAGAGUGGAAGCUUCUCUGUGGUGUCAGAAAGACGAGGAAUGUGGUGACCUCACCUAUCCAUCUCCCUCAAGGCAGCUUUUGACCUGAACUGGUUAUUUCCUACUUGCCUCCUGGAGUUGCUAAUAAAAUAAACACUAAAGCUUCGCAGUUUCUAAAAAGACCAUGAAGCCCUGAGAGUAAUGAAAAGGUUCCUGAAAUUGAGGUCACUGUGGAAGGAGAAUCUAAUGCCUGAUGAUCUGUCACUAUCUCCCAUCACCCCCAGAUGGGACCAUCUAGUUGCAGGAAAAGAAGGUCAAGACUCCCAGUCAUUCUACAUUAUGCCUCAGCCAAGAUGUCUCACCCCACUCUCUCUGAUGCAACAAGAAGCCCCUGGAGAACGUUUCAGUCCCAUUUUGUACUUCUGUCAUGUGCUCAUCACAGUCUGGUAAGUGUUGGCCUGUGAUUCCUAGAUUAGUCCAUUUUGCAUUGCUAUAAGGAAACACCUCAGGCUGGGUAGUUUAUAAAGAAAAACAGUUUAUUUGGCUCACAGUUCUGCAGACUAUACAAGUAGCAUGGUGCCAGGCUGGGAGCAGUGGCCCACACCUGUAAUCCCGGCACUUUGGGACGCUGAAGCAGGAGGAUUGCUUGAGCCCAGAAGUUUGAAACCAGCCUGGGAAACAUGGUAAGAUCUUGUCUCUGCUAAAAAUAAAAAAAAAAUAGCCAGGUAUGGUGGUGCACUGAUGCAUUCCUGUGGUUUCAGCUACUUGAAAGGCUAAGGUAAAAAGACCUGUUUAGCCCAGGAUGUCAGGGUUGCAGUGAGCCAUAAUUACACCACUGCUCUCUAGCCUGAGUGUCAGAGUGAGACCCUGUCUCAGAAAAAAAAAAAAGCGUAGUACCAGCAUCUGCUGGUGAAGACCUCAGGAGGCUUCCUCUCAUGGCGGAAGGUGAAGGAGGAGCCGUCAUGUCACUUGUUGAGAAGAGGGAGCAAGGGAGAGGGGAGGAGAUGCCACUCUCUUUAAACAAUCAGCUCUCACAUGAACUAGUAGAGAGAGAACUCAUUCAUUACCUUGGGGAAGGCACCAAGCCAUUCAUGAGGGAUCUGCCCCCACGACUCACACACCUCCCACCAGGCACCACCUCCAACAUUAGGGAUUUAAUUUCAAUAUGUGAUUUGGAGGAGACAAACGUUCAAACUGUAUCAAUUUCCUGCUACCCUAUAAGCUCUGCGAGGGCAGAAACUUUUUUUUUUUUUUUGAUACGGAGUUUCGCUCUCAUUGCCCAGGCUGGAGUGCAGCGCCGCAACCUCAGCUCAUUACAACCUCCGCCUCCUGGGUUCAAGCGAUUGUCCUGCCUCAGCCUCCUGAGUAGCUGUAGCUGGGAUUACAGACAUGCACAACCAUGCCCCGCUAAUUUUUAUACUUUUAAUAGAGACAGGGUUUCACCAUGUUCGUCAGGCUGGUCUCGAACUCCUGACUUCAGGUGAUUCACCGGCCUCGGCUUCCCAAAGUGCUGGGAUUACAGGCAUGAGCCACCACGCCCGGCCAAGGGCAGAAACUGUUAUACCUUGUUCACCGCUGUUUCCUGGGCACCUAUUAUAGUGCCUGGUAUAUAGUAGGAGCUCAAGAAGUGUUUGUUAGGGCCUGAUGUGUUGGCGCAAGCCUGUAAUCCCAGCUUUUUGGAAGGUGGGGGCCAGAGGAUUGCUUGUGCCCAGGAGUUCAAGGCCAGCCUGGGCAACGUAGUGAGACCCUGUCUCUAGAAAAAAUAAUAAACUGGCCAGGCACGGUGGCUCACACUUGUAAUCCCAGCACUUUGGGAGGCCGACGUGGGCAGAUCAUCUGAGGUCAGGAGUUCAAGACCAGCCUAGUGAACAUGGUAAAACCCCAUCUCUACUAAAAAUAUAAAAAUUAGUCAGGCAUGGUGGCAUGCACCUGUAAUCCCAGCUACUCGGGAGGCUGAGGAAAGAGAAUUGCUUGAACCCAGGAGGCAGAGGUUGCAGUGAGCUGAGAUCAUGCCACUGCACUCCAGUCUGGGCAACAGAGCGAGACUCCGUCUGAAAAAAAAAAAAAAAAAAAAAAAA